AUCAGAACUGAAAUCGUCAGUGUUCGUAUUCUUCUGGUGAUGCUGCUCACUGGAGACGUCAAAUGAAGGAUUAUCAUAGCCAAUGUUGGAGACACGAUUUUGGAAGUAGAAGGCUGCACCAACUGUUGGAAGGUAUCAUCGUAGAGGAGGUCUGUCAUUGGUGGAACCUCUUGGUAUGAGUUUGAUAUCCAGGAGUCAGUACUUGCAGUGCUUACCCUUCCAAAUGGUGGUGCAGUUCCUUUCCUGGAACAUCAGAUAGACAGGAGGUUGUGUUGCUUGAGUGGUCUUACUUGUUACUGGUAUUGAAGAGGUCAAGGCGCCACACGACAAUCAUGAGUAGUGUGAAUAUAGCUACCACACCCAGUGAGAUGUACAGCCAGAGGUGCAGCAUCUCUUCAUUGUCUGGCACCUGGUAUACCUGCAUAAAACAGGAGCUGCAUCAGUGUUGGUGCAGUAUUCAAGAGGCAGUCCACCACAUUCUUCGAGGUAGUUCUUCAGCUGCACCCAAAUGGCUCUAGGGAAUGGCUCUUUAGGACCGCUACAUUCAAGGAUGCCCUAGAGAUUUAAAAAUCUAUCACCAUAGCCAGCUAACUCUAGAUUCAGAUCAAGGUAAAAAGAAAAAUCAAUUUGAUACAAAAAGUCACCAGUAACAUAACAAAAUUCAAGGGCAAUUUGAUUUUUAUAAAUGCUGUGUCUGAAAUUUCUUGGCACAGGAAGGUAGUGUUUCAUAAUUAUGGCCUAUUAGACAUUUCAUUAAAAUCAUAGGUGAUUAUGUGUAAGUAAAGCAAGUAAAGCUGUCCCACUAUACGCCAUGUAGCGCUUGGGGGGAGUGGAGGUAUAGCUCCUACUCAUUCUUGACCUCGGCACUAGAUGGGGGUGAGUGGUCAGCAUCAC